GGAAUAGAGGGAGCCGAGCACCUCAAGAUAUCAGAGUAGAGAUGGUAGCGAAUGCUGAACCAGUAGCUCAAUAAAGGAAGAACUAUAGCAGCUAAAACUUGAAAUCACAUAUUGGUAGGAGAGACAUCUGCCCUAUCACACAAGCCAACUGGGUUGGGUACCCCAUAGUCUAAGUUGCCCUCUCUUCAACUCUUUGACCAAUUGUGUCACCAAUCUUCGAACCCAACUCCAGUGUCUACAACUUGAUCUCCUACUCCCCAAAUCGAGUAAUAAAAGGAUCCUUUUUGAAACAGAACUACUAUCUUUCAAUCCCUUGGGUGAAGUCAGACCACUUUGGUUUCGAUGUACCAGACCUUCUUUCUCCUUCGAGCAUAGAAAAACGAAGGGGCAAUUGACAUGCAACAAGACAAAUUAGCUUAAGAGUGCCGCCCAUUACAAGUUGCCAAUUCAAGUGGCCAAUUACACUUCAAUUUUAUCCAAUGCUUCACCUUCACAUUCUUUGUUCUCCAUGAGACCUGAACAGUGGAAGAGGAGGAGAUAAGAAAGACGUUGGUUGAGGCAGGCAGGGGUUAUUGUAGAAAGGCUUGCUCUUUUUCUGAUCACCAUGUGCUUGCCAUACUUGGUGGCCUUCUCAAGGGCACGCUUGCCUUGAAUUGAUGGGGGACAAUCCUCUCUGCCACAUGCCCGGACCCAAGAGAAUGUCUCAGCUUUUGGGCCGCAUGCCCGAAGAGACGCAGCUUUUACUAAUCUGUAGAAAGGAAUGAGAUUAUGAGGGAAGCUAAAGAUGGAGUUGAGCAGCCCAGGGAAGAGAGAAGUUGUGACCACAUCAAAGGUAGGGCUCCUAAUCAUAGAUGUCAUGAUUCCUCACUCCUUUAUGCAUUGGAAGGGUUGGAUUAAAGGCUGCGGCUGCCAUGCUUCAUAGACAACCAGAAAGGAAGUACUCGCGACUGUAUGAUGGUUUUGUUUAGGGUUUUGCAUGAGACUGACAACUCGCAGAAAUGAUUCUUCGAACUAAUGGGUGUUGGACCAAGAUUGCUUUAGUUGAAUUAAGGUUAAAAGGGAGGAAGACCAGCUUUAGAAUUAGGAUUCUUUGCAAGGGAAAAGUAUGUCUGCUAAAGAGAAAGGGAUGAAUCCAUGAGCCCGAGACUCUAAGCUAAUGAUGAAGGCAAUAAUAUGAUGUGUGGGUCUCGAGGAGCUUACUUAAUCUGUCUGACCUUUUGCCUGUGUUUAGGGUUCUCGGUGGAGGAGAAUUGUCUGCGUGGAAGAAGCUUGGUUCAAUGGCAGUGGGAAGGGUGGUGCUGUGGUGCUACUGUUAACCGGAAGGAACCUGUUACCCAGGGUUUCCAGAUCUCUGACUUGUGACUUGAGGAACUUGAGGUAGUUGACAGCCUCAUCGAGCAUAGACGCAGUGUCCAUUCUGCUGCCCCCUGGGACCAGCCUUUGCAGUAUUCUCAGCCUCUCACUUAUCCUUUCCCUCCUAUGCCUUGCAGCCACAGUCUGUGGGUCACUCGAUAUCUUCACGUUCUUCCUCUGUGGCUUCUCCGCUGCCUCCUCCACCCCCAGACUCACCGGCCGCAGAGCUGCAGCCCUAUAGAUCAUCUCCUUCGCCUGCGCGAUCGCCUCGGUGUCGGGCUCGUAUCCGCCUUCCCGAACAAAAUCGAUACUCGAACUCCCCGAGUGCUUCUCUGAUCUCGGCUUCUUCGAUUGGGCUCCCCUUGAGAAGCUAAUUUGAUAGCCUCCCUCCCCUGUUGAGCAACUCGAUUGGAGGAGGCUACAAAUCGGGUGGUUGCUUUCCCCUACUCUCUUCACCUCAUCUAACUUUCUCUUGGCGUUUCUCCUUCCCUUCAGAGAUUCGAGUUGCCGAACCGAGGAAGCCUGUGAAGCCACAUCGUCCAGGUUUGGCCCGCCGUUCUCGGACUCCCCCGAAGAAAUGUUACCGCUGCAACUCAAACCAUGCACCACAUUCGUGCGUCGAGAAAACGCAGCCGCGGUGCCAUCUUGCGCAUCGACGGUGUUGCUGAUGACUUGUAGCUCUUCAGAUGUCCCGAAUGAUGGAGGAGCAGCAGCAUCGCCCAAGAUCCAGAUUCAAACUGUUGUUGAUGGAGUCCGAGGCGGGAGUUAAGAUUUCCAUCGACUCACUGAUUCCAUCAACAUCUGAACUGGUUUGGCGUGCAAGAAUCCGCUGAAGCUCGAGACUUGAGCUGAGGAUGAGAGCUUCGUUGAGGUCCGACUCCUCGUUAAAGCUGUUGUGGCCUUCGCUAGAGGUUGUGAAAUCAUCGUAGUGAUUGCUCCAUAUACUUGGCGACAUGGAAACCUCGGUUCUGAUGGCCGCUGGAUUCUCCCAACCAAAUCUAUCCAUGCAACCUCGAUUCCUCGAUUGGUCUCAGGAACUCAGAAGAGUGUGCGGGCAAAGACCGAACGAUGUCGUCGCCGCUGUCUUCUGCCCACUGUUUCUACGAUGUCGUCGUUCAUCACUCGUGAAGACAUUAACUGCACGGAAGCCAGCUAAAGCAGCUUCUGCUAACGUCACUUGUGGCACAGGCGAACUUGCUGACUAUAUACAACAAGACAAGGCAUUAAAACCCCGUAACCUCCCAAUAAUGUCCACCAGAUCACAUGUCGAAGCCGGGCAUCCCCGAAGAAGCACCGGGGCAGAGAUAAAAAGAAGAAGAUGCAUAUGGCGUACCGCUGUGUUAUGUUAUCUUCUGGGGUAGGCAUGACGAGCUCAUCUCCCGCAAAGAAAGCUUAUAAGUGAGUAGGGCAGUGAGAUGGUCUUUGAUAAGAGUUGUCCAGAGGUUCUCUUUCACCUUUGUGUUUUGGGAGUUUGGUGGUAAAUUGAUGUGAUUUGCCUUGUUGAUGCUUCUAGUUAUGCAAUAUUACUCGUGCUGUCCCUGUCCCUAAUUCUACAUCAA